rnacentral:rRNA from 1 species
UACAGAGGCCCCGAGCGUUAAUCGGAAUCACUGGGCUUAAAGGGUGCGUAGGCGGGCCAGUAAGCGCUUUGUGAAAUCCCACAGCUCAACCGUGGAACCGCAGGGCGAACUGCUGGUCUUGAGGAAGCUAGAGGCUGGUAGAACGAUAGGUGGAGCGGUGGAAUGCGUAGAGAUCUAUCGGAAUGCCGAAAGUGAAGACAGCCAGCUGGGGCUUUCCUGACGCUAAAGCACGAAAGCGUGGGGAGCAAACCGG